UACGGAGGGGGCUAGCGUUGUUCGGAAUUACUGGGCGUAAAGCGAGUGUAGGUGGUUGUCGUAGUCAGGCGUGAAAGCCUUGAGCUCAACUCAAGAAAUGCGCUUGAUACUGGGCAGCUAGAGGACCGGAGAGGAUAGUGGAAUUCCGAGUGUAGAGGUGAAAUUCGUAGAUAUUCGGAAGAACACCAGUGGCGAAGGCGACUCACUGGACAUGUAUUGACGCUGAGGUGCGAAAGCGUGGGGAGCAAACAGG
rnacentral:rRNA from 1 species